rnacentral:rRNA from 1 species
UACAGAGGGUGCGAGCGUUAAUCGGAAUUACUGGGCGUAAAGCGUGCGUAGACGGUUAUUUAAGUCGGGUGUGAAAGCCCCGGGCUCAACCUGGGAAUUGCAUUCGAGACUGAAUAGCUAGGGUACGGUAGAGGGAAGUGGAAUUUCCGGUGUAGCGGUGAAAUGCGUAGAUAUCGGAAGGAACAUCAGUGGCGAAAGCGGCGACCUGGACCGAUACUGACGCUGAGGUGCGAAAGCGUGGGGAGCAAACAGG